rnacentral:misc_RNA from 1 species
GUUCAAUAUACCAGUAAAAAAUCUUUUUAAAGCUGGUUUGUCUGAUUAUUCAUUUUAAGCAUAAAUAAACAGUUCCGAACGAUUAACACAUUAAUUUUAGGUCUAAACUGGAAUUUUCACUUCAACGUUCAAAAUGUAUAAAUAAUCGCUUUGUUUACAUAGCGAAGAAUUGCAAGCUCUGUAACUCAGUUGACACUCAAAUUUUGGUUGCCUAUAAAAAAUGCCUUACAGAAGCAUUGUAAACAUUAAAAUUGAAAAAAAUAAUUUUUGACUAUGCCCCUUUAAAGCUGCAUGGUCCAAUUUUUUGGCUAUUACACAGAUUUUGUUAGGGAUAAAAGGAAAAUUCAUGUAGUAUGCAAUAAAAAGUUGGAUAUUUGAGUAUUUGAACCAUUAUAAACCAAAGAAAUCCUAUUAAAAUUAUGCUCUACUUGCAUUGCAGUACGUGUAUACAUU